rnacentral:rRNA from 1 species
GGUCAAGUGAAUAAGCGUGCACGGUGGAUGCCUUGGCAGUCAGAGGCGAUGAAGGACGUUGUAGCCUGCGAAAAGGUUCGGGGAGUCGGCAAACAGACUUUGAUCCGGACAUGUCCGAAUGGGGAAACCCACCCGCUUGCGGGUAUCUCUUAACUGAAUACAUAGGUUUUGAGAGGCGAACCCGGGGAACUGAAACAUCUAAGUACCCGGAGGAAAAGAAAUCAACCGAGAUUCCCUUAGUAGCGGCGAGCGAACGGGGAGCAGCCCUUAAGCUGUUUUCGUUUUAGCAGAACACUCUGGAAAGUGUGGCCAUAGUGGGUGAUAGCCCCGUAUGCGAAAGAGCGUUAACAGUGAAAUCGAGUAGGACGGGACACGUGUUAUCCUGUCUGAAUAUGGGGGGACCAUCCUCCAAGGCUAAAUACUCCUGACUGACCGAUAGUGAACCAGUACCGUGAGGGAAAGGCGAAAAGAACCCCUGUGANCACGUGUUAUCCUGUCUGAAUAUGGGGGGACCAUCCUCCAAGGCUAAAUACUCCUGACUGACCGAUAGUGAACCAGUACCGUGAGGGAAAGGCGAAAAGAACCCCUGUGAGGGGAGUGAAAUAGAUCCUGAAACCGUGUACGUACAAGCAGUGGGAGCCGUUUACGGACGGUGACUGCGUACCUUUUGUAUAAUGGGUCAACGACUUACUUUCAGUAGCAAGGUUAACCGUGUAGGGGAGCCGUAGGGAAACCGAGUCUUAAUAGGGCGUUGAGUUGCUGGGAGUAGACCCGAAACCGGGCGAUCUAUCCAUGGGCAGGUUGAAGGUUGAGUAACAUCAACUGGAGGACCGAACCGACUAUCGUUGAAAAGCUAGCGGAUGACCUGUGGAUCGGAGUGAAAGGCUAAUCAAGCCCGGAGAUAGCUGGUUCUCCUCGAAAGCUAUUUAGGUAGCGCCUCAUGUCUCACCUUGGGGGGUAGAGCACUGUUUCGGCUAGGGGGUCAUCCCGACUUACCAACCCGAUGCAAACUCCGAAUACCCAAGAGUGCAAUCAUGGGAGACACACGGCGGGUGCUAACGUCCGUCGUGAAAAGGGAAACAACCCAGACCGCCAGCUAAGGUCCCAAAGUUCUAGUUAAGUGGGAAACGAUGUGGGAAGGCUUAGACAGCUAGGAGGUUGGCUUAGAAGCAGCCACCCUUUAAAGAAAGCGUAAUAGCUCACUAGUCGAGUCGGCCUGCGCGGAAGAUAUAACGGGGCUCAAACUAGACACCGAAGCUGCGGAUGCCUUAGGGCAUGGUAGAGGAGCGUUCUGUAAGCCGUUGAAGCGGAAGCUGUGAGGCACCGUGGAGGUAUCAGAAGUGCGAAUGUUGACAUAAGUAACGAUAAAGGGGGUGAAAAACCCCCUCGCCGGAAGACCAAGG